rnacentral:rRNA from 1 species
CUUUCCCUCUUUCUUCCGGCCUAACACAUGCAAGUCGAGCGGAUGAAGGGAGCUUGCUCCUGGCUUCAGCGGCGGACGGGUGAGUAAUGCCUAGGAAUCUGCCUGGUAGUGGGGGAUAACGUCCGGAAACGGGCGCUAAUACCGCAUACGUCCUGAGGGAGAAAGUGGGGGAUCUUCGGACCUCACGCUAUCAGAUGAGCCUAGGUCGGAUUAGCUAGUUGGUGGGGUAAAGGCCUACCAAGGCGACGAUCCGUAACUGGUCUGAGAGGAUGAUCAGUCACACUGGAACUGAGACACGGUCCAGACUCCUACGGGAGGCAGCAGUGGGGAAUAUUGGACAAUGGGCGAAAGCCUGAUCCAGCCAUGCCGCGUGUGUGAAGAAGGUCUUCGGAUUGUAAAGCACUUUAAGUUGGGAGGAAGGGCAGUAAGUUAAUACCUUGCUGUUUUGACGUUACCAACAGAAUAAGCACCGGCUAACUUCGUG